UCAGCAAACUAGGAAUAGAGAACUUCCUCAACCUGCUAAAAAAAAAAAAAACAACACACAAAAUCUCUGAUUUAAUGGGAGAGGCUAGGAGCUUUCCCCAUAAGAUUGCGAACAAGACAAGGAAAUCCCCACUCAUCACUCUUCUUCAGUAUCAUACUGGAAGUCUUAGCUAAUGCAGUAAGACAAGAAAAUAAGAGGCAUAGAAAUUUGAAGGGAAGGAAUAAAACUGUUUUUGUUCAUAGAUGACAUGAUUAUCUAUGUAGAAAAUCCCAAAGAAUAAAAAUAGCCCCUCCUAGAACCAAUAAGCAUUUAUGACAAGGUUGCAGGAUAUAAGGUUAGUGUAUAUAAAAAGCUAGUUGCAUUCCUCUGCAGCAGCCCUGAACUACUGGAGUAUGAAGUUAAAAAUGCCCGCACACAAUUGUAUGGUUAAAAUGAUAAACUUCAUGUUCCAUGUGUUUUACAAUUUUAAAAAUCCAUUAGAAUCUCAGCAAGUUUGAUUUUAGUUGAUAUCUAUUUUGUGGAUAUCAAUAAACUGAUUUUCAAGGUUAUAUAGGAAGGCCAAAGACCUAGAAAAGUCAAACAAUAUUGUCAGGACUGACACUACCUGACGUUAAGACCUCCUCUAAAGUUACAGUAAUAAAAAAGCAAAAGCAAUUCAAGGAAAAAAGGAUAUUCUUUUCAACAAACAAAUGGCACUGGAACAACUGGACACUAAUAUGCAAAAAUAUUAAUCUGUACAAUGACUUUACAAAUUUAAUAAAAAUUAACUUAAAAUGAAUCACAGGCCUAAAUAUAAAAUGCCAAACCAUAAAACUUCUACAAGAUACCACAGGAGACAAUCCAGGUGCCUUGGGUUUGGCAAUGAGUUUUUAAACACAACACCAAAAGCAUGAUCCAUGACAGAAAAAAAUGAGUUGGGCUUUAUUGAAAUUUAGAACUUCUGUCCUGUGAAAAAUACUGUGAAGAGAAUGAAAAGUCAAUCCACAGGCUGGGAGAAAAUAUUUCUAAAACUCAUCUCUGAUAAAGGACUUGUAUCCAAAACAAACAACUCUUAAAAUGCAAUAAGAGAACAAACAACCCAAAUAAAAAAAAUGGGCAAAAGAUCUGGAAACUUCACCAAAGAAGAUCAACAGAUGGCAGGGCCAGGUGCGGUGGCUCACGCCUAUAAUCCCAGCACUUUGGGAGGCCGAGGCAGGCGGAUCACGAGGUCAGGAGUUCCGAGACCAGCCUGACCAACAUGGUGAAACCCCGUCUCUACUAAAAAUACAAAAAAUUAGCCAGGCGUGCUGGUGGGCACCUGUAAUCCCAGCUACUCAGGAGGCUGAGGCAGAAGAAUCGCUUGAACCCAGGAGGUGGAGGUUGUGGUGAGCAGAGAUCGUGCCAUUGCAUUCCACCUGGAUGACAGAGCAAGACUCUGUCUCAAAAAACAAAAACAAAAACCAACCAGAUGGCAAAAAGCACAUAAGAUGAUGCUCAGUAUCAUGUCAUUAGAGAACUGCAAGUUAAAACAGUAAGAUAUCACUACACACCUGCAAGAAUGGAUAAAACCCAAGAAACUGACCAGCAAAUGAUGAUGAGGAUGUGGAGCAAAAGGAACUCUCAUUGAUGGCUGGCAGAAUGUAAAAUAGUACACAGCCACUUGGGAAGAUGUUCUGGUAGCUUUUUACAAACCUAAACCUAGUCUUAACUUACCCAACUGAGAUGAAAUGUUAUGUCCACAUAAAACCUACACAAGAGCAUGUAAAGCAGCUUCAUUCAUGAUGCCAAAAGUUGGAAGCAACCCAGAUGUCCUUCAAUACAUGAAUGGAUAAUCUAACUCUGAUACAUCCAUACAAUGGACUAUUAUUCACCAAAACCACAAAGGAGCUAUUAAGUUAUAAAAAGGCAUGGAGAAACCUUAAGUGCAUACUGCUAAGGGAGAGAAGGCCAUCUGAAAAAAAGCAAAUACUGUAUGAUUCUGGCUAUGUGACAUGCCAGAAAAGCCGAGGAUCUAGCAAUAGUUGAGAGAAGUGGUUGUCAGGGUUUUGGGGAGAGUAGAGGAGGGAUUUUUAGGGCAGUGAAGCUCUUUGGCAUGAUAUUGUAAUGGUGGAUACAUGUCAUUAUGCAUUUGUCCAAAUCCGUGGAACUGUAUAACAAAAAGAGUGGAUCUUUGUUUUUUGCGGUUUGAAGACAGGGUCUCACUCCCCUCACCCAGGCUAUAGUGCAGUGGUGUGAUCAUGGCUUCCUGCAGUCUCAACUUCCUGGGCUCAGGUGAUUCUCCCACUACAGCACGAAAAAUAUUAGGUUUGGUUUUAAGAAUGAAUCUACUAAAGGAAAAGAUAAAAGCUGGCAAAUCCUGACAAGCUCUGUUAUUUCAGAGCACAAACUACCUGCCAUGACUGUUCUACUACAACAGCUUUUCAUAAUCACACUUGAAAAGUAAUACCAGUUUUUGGUCAACCUUCCUUUUUUGGUGUAGUGCUACGCAUUUGCCCUAAUUUCAUGUGUUUUAAAG
rnacentral:lncRNA from 1 species